rnacentral:rRNA from 1 species
CCUACGGGUGGCUGCAGUGAGGAAUAUUGGUCAAUGGGCGCGAGCCUGAACCAGCCAAGUCGCGUGAGGGAGGCCGGCCCUACGGGUUGUAAACCUCUUUUACCGGGUAGCAACGGGCGUCACGUGUUGCGCCACUGAUAGUACCCGGAGAAAAGGCAUCGUCUAACUCCGUGCCAGCCGCCGCGGUAAUACGGAGGAUCCGAGCGUUAUCCGGAUUUGUUGGGUUUAAGGGGAGCGUAGGUGGUUUGUUAAGUCAGUUGUGAAAGUUUGCGGCUCAACCGUAAAAUUGCAGUUGAAACUGGCAGUCUUGAGUACAGUAGAGGUUGGCGGAAUUCGUGGUGUAGCGGUGAAAUGCUUAGAUAUCACGAAGAACUCCGAUUGCGAAGGCAGUUCACUGGACUGCAACUGACACUGAGGCUCGAAAGUGUGGGUAUCAAACAGGAUUAGAGACCCCAGUAGUC